rnacentral:rRNA from 1 species
AUUGAACGCUGGCGGCAUGCCUUACACAUGCAAGUCGAACGGCAGCGCGGACUUCGGUCUGGCGGCGAGUGGCGAACGGGUGAGUAAUACAUCGGAACGUACCCUGUUGUGGGGGAUAACUAGUCGAAAGAUUAGCUAAUACCGCAUACGACCGGAGGGUGAAAGUGGGGGACCGCAAGGCCUCACGAAGCAGGAGCGGCCGAUGUGUGAUUAGCUAGUUGGUGGGGUAAAGGCCCACCAAGGCGACGAUCAGUAGCUGGUCUGAGAGGACGAUCAGCCACACUGGGACUGAGACACGGCCCAGACUCCUACGGGAGGCAGCAGUGGGGAAUUUUGGACAAUGGGGGCAACCCUGAUCCAGCAAUGCCGCGUGUGUGAAGAAGGCCUUCGGGUUGUAAAGCACUUUUGUCCGGAAAGAAAUCGCGCUGGUUAAUACCUGGCGUGGAUGACGGUACCGGAAGAAUAAGCACCGGCUAACUACGUGCCAGCAGCCGCCGUAA